AUGGUUUCAUUAGAAUGUAUCACUGUGGUGGACUUUCGGUGUGUGUUUAUUGUGUGUUUGUGGUCUCCAGCCGGUCCCACGGUGAAGCCCUCCGUGUCUCUGCUCCCUCCCUCCUCUCUGCAGCUGUCUGAGGGAUCGGCCUCGCUGCUCUGCCUGCUGUCUGCCUAUUCUCCACAAGGGGCGCUGGUGAGCUGGACAGUGGACGGCUCAGAGGUGAAGGACGGGGUUCUGACCAGCGCCGAAGAACCGAAGAAGGACGGGUACACUCGCAGCAGCACCCUGACCCUCAGCAAAGCACUCUGGGAAAAGGGGGAGGAGUUUGUCUGUAAGGUCUCCCAUGACAACGUCGAUCAUCCGGUCACGUUCAGAAAGAGCCAGUGUGAAGUCUAA